CACGCAAACCCACUCGCCAAAAGAACGGCUCUGAGUAGAGAAAUUAUUACAUGGACCGUCCAAUGAUCACUGGCUAAUGGCCGUGUUACCCUUUGUUUUCAUCAAUAAUUUCUUCCGAGUCUAAGUGAUACAGUGUUGUUUCAUUGAAUGGUUGAAAGUGCAUGUGAUAGGGCAGUUCUAACCGAUAAUUUUUCUCUACAAAUUUUGGUUUAUCUUGGUCUUAUGACAUUUUCCGAAAGACAUCCUACGUAUCAUCCAAAUUUUUUUCCAGAGAUAAGUAUUUCCGUAGUUUCCCAGAAAGUUGAGGGCAUUUUCGAAGGAACUUCACGUCAGAGAAACGCGGCGAACUGGCUGCCGGUAUCCGCCCGUCUCCCUCUUCCUUGCACGC
rnacentral:lncRNA from 1 species